UGACAGCCUAAUACCCCAGUUUGCCUGUCUGUCUGAAUGCCUUGUUGAAGUCUGAAGUUGAUUGCUUUCCUUCCAAGAUUAUCCCAGAGCUUCAGACAACAUCUGAGGAAAUAAACAGUUGGAAAGGUUAGAGACAGGAGCUGGAGGGGAGAAGGCAGGGAGGGGAUUCAAGAAAACUUGGGCAAGCAGCUGAAUUUGAUGUGAGCUGGAGACUGACCUGAGAAUUGGGGAGUGGAAGAUGGAUGUGAGAACUAUUUCCUCCUCAUUCUCAGAAAGUGUCAGUGACUGUUGGAAACUGAAGUGGCACAGGAGACAGCAGGGCGGGACAUGAAUGGAGAAGAUGCAGCUCCUCUGACCUGGCGGCACCGGGGUCUCUCAGCUACGGACCAAGUCCUCCUGGGGCCAGGAACCUGUCCAGAUUUGCCUGCUGUUCCAUCAAAGGUCAGCCCCAUCAGGCACCAGAGAAAGAUGCUCUAAACUUCAGCACAUUUGGCUUAUGCUGGAGAUGCUGCUCCUGGUGAAACUCACCUGAAAUGAGCAGGUAGGAUGCCGCAGGCAUUGCUCCAAGUACUUUGCAUGCAUUCAUCGAGAUAAGGACUAUUAUUAUCCCCCCAAAAUAACAAGGAAACGAAGAGAGGUAACUUACUCAAGGUCACUCAGUCAGUAUCAGUCAGUAUCGGAG
rnacentral:lncRNA from 1 species